GAUGAAGAACGCAGCGAAAUGCGAUAAGUAGUGUGAAUUGCAGAAUUCCGUGAAUCAUCGAAUCUUUGAACGCACAUUGCGCCUUCUGGUAUUCCGGAAGGCAUGCCUGUUCGAGAGUCAUUAACAACCGUUUCGAUCCCUUUCUUUCAGAAAUUACAAAGAGGAAAAGGGUUUGGUUAUGGUGGAGGAGGGAAAGGGAGCGUUUAGCCUGUAAAAAAAGAGGCUGUGUUCCGCCUCCCCCCCAAAAUUGUACAGGCGGUCGUGUGCGCCCACGCAUCGAGGUGUUGUAAAAGCUGCCACGGCACUUUUCACCUGUGCAGUGCGAGAUUGGCCAGCCGGUUUAAAAGCCCCUCCAAACAAUCAAAGGUUGACCUCGGAUCAGGUGGGGAUACCCGCUGAACUUAAGCAUAUCAAUAAGCGGAGGA
rnacentral:misc_RNA from 1 species